UGUUUCCCAUGAAGACAACACAGUCAGCAUGUGGAAAAUGAAAGUACUGGUGUUCAAGUAUUCAUGUGAGUGAUACUUCUGCAAGGGUGGUCUUUCUCAACAACACCAUCAAGAUCUCAUGCUCUUUCUCUGGUGCUAUGCUUUAGAAUAGAAAUCCAGAUACCUAGUGCAGCACUGACAGUGGUACCGCCCUGGGGACCUGGAUAAAGUUUGGCUAUUGUGUCUGAGGAACAGAGGCUGUGC